AGCGAACGCUGGCGGCAUGCUUAACACAUGCAAGUCGCACGGGCAGGUUUCGGCCUGUCAGUGGCGGACGGGUGAGUAACGCGUAGGGAUCUAUCUCUGGGUGGGGGACAACCGUGGGAAACUACGGCUAAUACCGCAUGACACCUGAGGGUCAAAGGUGCUGGGGCAACCUGGCAUCGCCUGGAGAGGAGCCUGCGUACGAUUAGCUAGUUGGUGGGGUAAAGGCCUACCAAGGCGACGAUCGUUAGCUGGUCUGAGAGGAUGAUCAGCCACAUUGGGACUGAGACACGGCCCAAACUCCUACGGGAGGCAGCAGUGGGGAAUAUUGGACAAUGGGCGCAAGCCUGAUCCAGCAAUGCCGCGUGUGUGAAGAAGGUCUUCGGAUU
rnacentral:rRNA from 1 species